GGCGGGGCCGCGCCUGCGCAUAAUGAAAAAACGGGCGUGGUUUGCGCUGCAUAUAAUAAGGAUGGGCGUGGUCAGCGCUGUUCCUGGGUGUGGGAAACGCUCCCAGGUGAGCGCCCUCCUCCACUCCAAGUGCCCUCCAACAUGAUGUCCUACACGACGUGUGGAAUGAAACCCCACCUUUUUUUCCCUCUCCUUCCAUUAAGAAAAAUCAGCCUUGACACCAGAAAAAAGCAAUUUGGAAAGAAGCCACCAUCCCUUCUCCCGCCCUCUGAUUCCCUGCCUUGUGAUGCAACUGGUGCCAGGCAGAAAUUCACCUUCCCGUAAUCUUCAGGGAAUCAACAGAUGGCAGCAGGAAGAUGGGAGGGACAGCUUUUGCAACUGGUGGAUUGUUGAUGCCCAGAAAAUAAGUCCCCAUCACUGAGGCUGAUCCCGAAGCAACUUGUUGGGACACGCCUUAAUCCAGGUGUUAUCAGGACAAUGCGAAACCAGCGGCCCUCACUCCAAACCCUCUGUUCUUCUUGGGGAUGUGUAUCCGUGCCAGUUUCAUUGUGCAAUUCCCAAUCUCUCGAGGUUUGUUUUUCCAGAUGGAGUAAAUGUGUGGUUUUUGGAGGUUCAGCGUUGACACCCCACGGAGGAACAACCAGCGAACCACAGAACAUAAAACCAGACACAAACCAAAGGGUUUUUUUCCCCAAAAAAUGAUACUUUUACUUUUUUCUAGUCCAGCUGGUGGAUUUUCUUAAAUGGAGACAUGCUCCAAGACAAAAAAAAAAAAAAAAAAAACCACAAAA